CUCUCUCGAAAUGCACUUGUAUGUUCGCAAAUCUACAUGUUACUCAAAUAUGAUUGACAGCCUUAUUGACAAAUCACAGCACGGACCUUUGUUACAAUGCCAGUGAUUGGCUAGCUAGCUUAAUGGAAGGUGGGACCAUGUAUCUAACCAGUAGCCACAUUGCAACAUGGAGGACUUCCCAAAAGGCGCUUCUUAUUUUAGAACAUAAUUCACCUGGUACGGGUGAAUAUAAGGUGCACACCUCUUUGCUGGAGCAGACCGGGACCAGUGUUGAAAUGGAACGAGAAGGCCUUUAUGGGAAUUGGGAGGGUCAACACUUCACCCUUUCCAAAAGCUAAGUACCUCGCCAUAUUCCAUUUCCAACAUUUCACCUGCUAGCACUGCCUGCUGACAUUCUCUACUGCUUUGUGUGCUACACACAGCCAGUACAGGAGUGCACCUACUGUGAACCAGAGAGGAGGCCUUUUGGGAUACUGGAAAGGUGAAGCACAAUUCAUUAUGGAUUUUAAUGACUUUUCUGCCUGAACACUCAUUGCUCACAUCUGAACUAUUUGAGUUACUAGUGUCCCCCCAAUGACAAUGGAACACUUUUCUGAAUAGACAUGGAUUGGCCUUUAUUGAUACCAGAUAACAUUACUUAAGCCACUGUCUCCUGCCUCCAUUUUUAUUUUCCCAUUCAAGACUUUUUGAUUUUCCCAUUUAAGUUUGUUUAAAUCUAUUUACUAUUUCCCCAUUACCUUUGAUAUUAUACUCCUUAUCUUAGUUCUAUUGUGGCUUAUUAUGAUUUAGUUUAAUCAUUUUUGGAGAGGUAUUGUGGAGUUUUAUUGUAAUUGGCCCUAUGACCUUUCAGCUAAAUCUGUUGACAGAAUCUUUCUUUCACACAGUACAACAGAACCCAGGAGAGGCCUGCUGCGAACACUGGCUUGGAUCCCUCAGAGCGUACCUGCAGUGGUGUGACCACGGAAGAGUCCUCAAGGACUUUUAAAAUAGGACUUUUCCAUUUGAUCUUUUUGGACUUGUCCACUUGGGACUUUUAGCUAUUGUUAAAUACAUAAUGUAGAACACCCUUCUGUCUCUGGUGUGUGUUUGGAAGGCCUACAUAUCUUGUAACCACUCAUUCAUACAAUCUGAUAUACAGUGGUGUGAAGUACUUAACUAAAAAAUACUUUAAAGUACUUACUUAUGUCAUUUUUGGGGGGUAUCUGUACUUUACUUUACUAUUUAUAUUUUUGACUACUUGACUACUACUUUUACUCCACUACAUUCCUAAAGAAAAUAAUGUACUUUCUACUCCAUACAUUUUCCCUGACACUUUCACACUCUUAAAGAGAAGAGAAAAUCCCUGGUCAUCCCUACUGCAUCUGAUCUGGCAGACUCACUAAACACAAAUGCUUUGUUUGUAAAUUAUGUCUGAGUGUUGGACUGUGCCCCUGGCAAUCCUUAAAUUUAAAACACUUAAGUAUAUUUUUGCAAUUAAAUUGACUUUUGAUACCUAAGUAUAUUUAAAACCAAAAACUUUUGGACUUUUACUCCAGUAGAAUUUUACUGGGUGACUUUCACUUUUACUUGAGUCAUUUUCUAUUAAGACAUCUUUACUUUUACUAUGACAAGUGGGUACUUUUUCCACCACUGCUGAUACAAAUGCAAGCACUGACUUAUAUUCACUUGUCUAUUGUCCCAUUCUUCAAUCUGGUCUUUCAUAUACAUAUUUUAGUUGUUACACCUGUGUGAUGUGUCUGAUAUAAAUGAAUAAAAAUCUAUUCACCCUGUACAUUACUUGAAUUUUAGAACUUUUGAAUCAUAAACUAAGUGUUGUCUUGAUACAGUCUGCAUGUUUAAGUUUCCAUAAGUUAGUAAAAAUGUGAAGACCAACAGGCUAUGAAAUAGUUAUUAUUUUCUAACCUAACUAAAAAAUAAACGUUUUUACACAGCUUCAUAAAUUCGGCCAUUGAAAGCCUUGGACGUUGUAUCCUUCCUCAGGGAACGGCCUGCUGACAACAGGGUGGCAUGGUUUUUGAUGUUGCUGCUCUAGAGAUCCAUUGCCCAGCAGACUCACCUGGGACAGGGGGAAAGAUGCAUGUUUGUUUUUUUAGAGGGAGGAGAGAGCAUACGUAUUGAAGUGAGUAUGGUAAAUCCAACCAGUAACCCUUGAUUAUAUGCUAUAUCACACAGACCGCAAUAGUGAAGGUGCCAUAAGUAUACUAUUAUGAGUGGAGCCUACUUCUCUGUGCUCUGAAGAGGUCGCAGGUGGUUGGUCAGAAGGCUCUGGAGGUCCUUGGCAUGUUCUGUCUCUAGCGACUGGAGAGGUGUGAAUGGAACUACUGAGUGUGCUUGAAAGAGCAAGAGUUCACAUCUAACAAGUAUAUUGCUGAUUAUUGAGGACUAAGGGGGCAUUCAAAUCAGACAAAUGGAUGUGUAAAAGACGCAGCAACUCAAUAACUUUCAAUGGGAGGAGGGCGUUGGGGAGGCCCUGGCAUUGUGUUGCGCUGUCCAUCUGAAAACUUAAAGCAGUGUUCCUUCUCGUCACACCGCUGUGUUGGACAGGCAUUAUAAGCAUUUUGAUUUAAAGGCAGCCUUACUCUGUGGUUCAAGUUGUAUUUUAAUGUCUAACUUCCCCUCUUACUGGGCAAGUUUGUUCUGCAUGGACCGGUGCCACGGAUGGGUGGAGAUUUAGUUUAAGGACCAAUGGAAUGAUCAAAAAUGUGCAAAAUCCGCCCACAAGGGGCACUGGGCCAUGUUAAACAAACUGGCCCACACUAUGACCCCUAAGCCCUCACCCGUGACCUCCCAUUGGCCCAGGGCCUCCUGUCUAAACCUCUAAUCAGAGUCUCUCUGACAGGAAGUUAAUCCAGUAGGCAGGUUUAUGGUGCAUAGGGCUUCUCCACUCCUCAAAUGAGUGGAGUAUUAGUUAUUCAAAUAGGACCGGUAGGGAGCACCUAAGGAGUUGGACCUAUAACUGAAAGGUGGCUGCUUCGAAUCCCUGGCCAAGGUGCUGGAAAAAAGGAGGUAAUUGAUUUGGCAUCUAGAUGGCUGCUGGGUUCACAUCCUGAAGAUAUUCCCCUACUGUUAAUGGGCUUGAGCAAGGCCGUUAACAGCACAACACAAUCUCCAUCCAGAGGAGCUGCAAUGCAGCUUGACCCUGUGCUCGCCUCAACUGUAAGUGAUGUGCCGUUAUGACUUACUGACACUGACAUGGGGUGCUCCAUGUUCCUGCUGGUAGCAGGCCUUAACCUGGAUGUGAGGAAAUGCCCUGCCUUGGCGUAUGGUUAUAUCUAUCUCCACCAGGGUCCUUUUAAAUCAAAUGACCAACCUGCAUGCAUUACCAAAAUAAAAUUGUACCUGUAUUUAGACAAUUGUAGUCAUGAAAGCCGCAGUUUAAGACCACGAUUAGUUUAAUGAGAUGUUUGUGCUAGGCAGGAAUAAAAACGUGCACACAGUUCCACUCUCCUAAAAUCCCCAGGUUUUGUAGAACUCCUGGUUGGAGGAUUCCAGAUUUCCUGCUUAUUCCCUCGUGAUGCCGUAAAUAUCCCAAUCAGGUUUUCUGGAAAACCAAGGAAUUUUGGGGAAAUUUACCAGAUUUUUUGCAACUACCUGGGACAGGUACGUCUGUAUUAUAGAAUGAGCUCCCUAAGUAACAAUGAGAUGACAAUGAUAUGGACAACAUGUGCAUCUACAGGUAAUUUCCCAAAUAAAAACACCAACAUAAAGUGUCUUAAUAGGGUCACCACACGCCACAACAGCUUCAAAGAUGCAUAGAUUCGACAA
ensembl:lncRNA